AGUUUGAUGAUGGCGCAGGAUGAACGCUAGCUACAGGCUUAACACAUGCAAGUCGAGGGGAAACGACAUCGAAAGCUUGCUUUUGAUGGGCGUCGACCGGCGCACGGGUGAGUAACGCGUAUCCAACCUGCCCACCACUUGGGGAUAACCUUGCGAAAGUAAGACUAAUACCCAAUGACGUCUCUAGAAGACAUCUGAAAGAGAUUAAAGAUUUAUCGGUGAUGGAUGGGGAUGCGUCUGAUUAGCUUGUUGGCGGGGUAACGGCCCACCAAGGCGACGAUCAGUAGGGGUUCUGAGAGGAAGGUCCCCCACAUUGGAACUGAGACACGGUCCAAACUCCUACGGGAGGCAGCAGUGAGGAAUAUUGGUCAAUGGGCGAGAGCCUGAACCAGCCAAGUAGCGUGCAGGAUGACGGCCCUAUGGGUUGUAAACUGCUUUUAUAAGGGAAUAAAGUGAGUCUCGUGAGACUUUUUGCAUGUACCUUAUGAAUAAGGACCGGCUAAUUCCGUGCCAGCAGCCGCGGUAAUACGGAAGGUCCGGGCGUUAUCCGGAUUUAUUGGGUUUAAAGGGAGCGUAGSCCGGAGAUUAASCGUGUUGUGAAAUGUAGACGCUCAACGUCUGCACUGCAGCGCGAACUGGUUUCCUUGAGUACGCACAAAGUGGGCGGAAUUCGUGGUGUAGCGGUGAAAUGCUUAGAUAUCACGAAGAACUCCGAUUGCGAAGGCAGCUCACUGGAGCGCAACUGACGCUGAAGCUCGAAAGUGCGGGUAUCGAACAGGAUUAGAUACCCUGGUAGUCCGCACGGUAAACGAUGGAUGCCCGCUGUUGGUCUGAAUAGGUCAGCGGCCAAGCGAAAGCAUUAAGCAUCCCACCUGGGGAGUACGCCGGCAACGGUGAAACUCAAAGGAAUUGACGGAAGGGCGU
rnacentral:rRNA from 1 species